UUUACACCGAUAUAAUCACAGGAUUGAUCACCAGUGCGCGCGCCGGAGAAACAUGUUUCUUUAGUUCCAGUCCACAUGCCUGGAUGAUGCUGAUGUUCAUGUAGAUUUAUGAAUCAGUAAAGACAGACAGACCACUCUCAGGAGGGCAGGAGGGUAGAUGACGUCACCAGUCGGCGCUGAAUGGGGGACACGGGGAUGAAUAAUUAAUUGUCGGCUCUGAUCUAAUGGAAGACUGGGUGAAUAAUUCAGCGCGUCGGUGCGCUUCGAGUCCAAGCUGUGGAGCUCCAGCACGGACAUGGAGAACAUCACCGAGCGCUCUGCACCACAAACCCUCUUCCUGCAGGAUCUCUGAUCAGCAGGUCAUCAGAGUUUCCUCCCUGUAUGUUUAUGACGAUGCAGAACCAGAUGCUGGUGGAACUGUUCUGAGGGAGACGUGAGCGUGAAGGAGACGAGGAGCUGAAGAUUAAAGCAAGGAGGAAACCUGUGAGCCGAGUCUCUGGGUGAAGAUGAUGAGCUCUGUUUUUGCUAAGCUGAACCCACGGCGGAUCGAGUGGGCGGCGUCAUGGUACGGCCUUCACUCUCGCGUGAUGAGAACCAAACCUCUGCACUCUAUGCAGGAAGGAUUUGGGGAUCUUCAUGGAACCAGCAGACUGGCUCAGGUUCUUACCACUGUGGACUUGGUGUCUCUUGGUGUGGGCAGCUGUGUGGGAACGGGCAUGUACGUGGUUGCUGGGCUGGUUGCCAAGGAAAUGGCAGGACCAGGAGUGAUCUUGUCAUUUAUAAUCGCUGCUGUGGCAUCAAUUCUGUCAGGCGUGUGCUAUGCUGAGUUCGGUGUGCGAGUUCCUAAGACCACCGGCUCGGCGUACACCUACAGCUACGUGACGGUGGGGGAGUUUGUGGCCUUCUUCAUCGGGUGGAACCUCAUCCUGGAGUACCUGAUUGGCACGGCGGCCGGAGCCAGCGCUCUCAGCAGCAUGUUCGACUCUCUGGCCAAUCACAGCAUCAGCCGCUACAUGAUCACACACCUCGGGACUAUGAGCGGCCUCGGUAAAGGAGAGGAAUCGUACCCUGACCUCCUCGCUUUAUUCAUCGCCGCUAUCGUGACUGUGAUCGUAGCUCUGGGAGUGAAAAACUCAGUGAGCUUCAAUAAUGUCCUGAACAUUGUGAAUCUUGUGGUCUGGGUGUUUGUGGUGAUCGCUGGACUCUUCUUCCUGUCUGGAAAGAACUGGGAGGAUGGCAGGUUUCUGCCCUACGGCUGGUCAGGGGUGAUGCAGGGAGCUGCUACUUGUUUCUAUGCCUUCAUCGGGUUUGAUAUCAUUGCCACGACAGGAGAAGAAGCAAAAAGUCCAAACACCUCGAUACCCUAUGCCAUCACUGCAUCACUCGUCACGUGUCUCAUAGCAUACGUCUCUGUGAGCGUGAUCCUCACUCUGAUGGUGCCGUAUAAUCUGAUUGAUGGAGAUGCUCCUCUGAUGGAGAUGUUUGCUGUUCACGGCUUCAUGGCGGGGAAGUACAUUGUGGCGGUCGGAGCCAUUGCAGGGCUCACGGUUAGUUUACUGGGUUCUCUUUUCCCCAUGCCUCGAGUCAUCUACGCCAUGGCAGGAGACGGGCUGCUCUUCAGGUUCCUGUCCCAUGUGAGUCCACACACAGAGACGCCAGUGGUGGCAUGUGCCAUGUCUGGGUUCCUGGCUGCGUUUUUGGCUCUGCUGGUCAGUCUGAGGGAUCUGAUCGAGAUGAUGUCCAUCGGGACGUUGUUAGCGUACACGCUGGUGUCUGUGUGUGUGCUGCUGCUCCGCUAUCAGCCUGAAGCAGACGGAUUCACUGACGGGCUCCCAGAUGAGUUUCAGAAGAGUAAAGUGGGCGUGCUGGCGGAGCGUGAGCGUGACCUGUACUCCCCCAGCGACGGAGACGAGUACGGCAACACGUGUGGGGCCAAAAACAUUCCCUCGCAAAGUGACGAUGAGAUGCUGAUUAGCAAAUCAGACUCUGGUGGCUACCAGUCCGAGUCCUCGGGGUACAGUGAGGGCGAGAAAGAGACAGAGUUUGAGGAAUCGGACAGUGCCGUGACGGCCAUGCUGAAGCGAACGCUCGGGAGUAAUUAUUACGCUUUGCGGAUGCGACUCAGGAUUCCUGAACCCGGCUCUCAGCCAACGCCUGCUACAGGACGCACCGUCACCUACUGCGUCCUUGUCUUCUUCGUCCUCACGUUUGUGCUCUGGUUAGUUGUCAUAUACGGCCUGGACCGAGCCUCAGCAGGUGCUCACUGGGUUCUGGUCCCCUUCAUCAUCACCGUCAUCAUCUUCAUGGCAGGUUUAAUCGUUCUUAUUCUCCAGCAGCCUCAGAGUACAAAACGAUUACCAUACAUGGCUCCUUUCGUCCCCUUUGUGCCCACGGCCGCCAUUCUAGUCAACAUCUACCUGAUGCUCAAGCUGUCCUGCAUUACUUGGGUCCGCUUCGUGGUGUGGUGCUUCAUAGGUGUGAUGAUUUAUUUCGGGUACGGGAUGUGGAACAGUUCCCUGGAGCUGAGUGCGCGGGAGGAGGAAGCUCACGCCAGCUCGUAUCAGAGGUACGACGCCGGGGUGGACGAGAGCUUCACGUCUAAUGAUGGUCUUCACACAGAGGAGUGCGGAGAAGAUGGACGGUAUCAGGGCUGGGCAGCUGAAGAGAGAAGCUACCAGUACCAGAAUCAGCACCAGAACCAGCACCAGGAGCAGUACCAGGAUCAAUAUCAGAACCAGCACCAGGACCAUCACCAGAAUCAGUACCAGAACUUCUAGCAGUAGAACACAGGUCAGAGGUUCAGAUGCAGGAGCUGUGAAGGUUUUGAGGUUCUCCAUGAGGAAUAAUCUCUGAUCUGUGUGAAAUUGUUGAGUUCCAUCUGCUUUAUUGUCUUAUUCCACCUGAUCAACCUGAUUCUUCAUCACUGUUUUAUUUUUAUUUGCUUGAACUUAGUGUAUGUUUGUAUUUAUAAGUUGCAGAAUUAUUGGCACCCUUCCUGAGCAGAAAUAAUAUAUAAAAUGAUUACGCUUGUGGAGAUGAGGUAUAGUUUUAUUUGAACACAAUGCAAUAAUAAACUUUAAUUUGUUCUUGUUAUUGUUUUCUUUUGUCAGAAUUUUUUUUAGUUGGAUUAAAACUAUUGGCACCCACUCAUAAAUUUAAAAAAAGGUUAAGGGGAAAAUGUAAAGUACGUCUCAUUCGUUUUUUGGAAAUGUUUGUGUGUAUUGUUUAUAUGAUAUUAGAUUUUUGCCUGUCGGGGGCCAAUAAUUAUAGAGCUUACUGCUUGUUUUUUUCAUGGUGCAAAUGUGGUAAGGAACUGUGCAAUGCAAACGUAUAUCACAACAUAUUUAACACACUAUAACCUACAGUACAGGAGGAGAAAACUAAAUACACUGGGAAAUAAACACAAACAUGUUCUAGCCUUCAUCAUUUCAGAGAAACUCAACAUGGUUUUAAUGCACAGUGUUGCUCUGAAAACCUGUGUGUGUGUGUGUGUGUGUGUGUGUGUGUGUGUGUGAUAAUGGUAUUUUAAGGUACAGAAACCUGAAAAAAAGUGCGUUCCUGUUAGAAAGAAGUCUAAGUCUUUCCUUAGUUAAUUUUAUGAAAAGCAGAAGAUACUUGUCUUUCUGGAGAAACCAUUAUGUAGAGUAGAUCUGAAGAACUCUUCAAGAAGCCCAAGUUCUCCACAUGGAUCAGGAAUGUAGUUAGUGUUUUAUUUUAUUUUAUUUUUUUUAGUUCAGUGAACAAAAACUUACAAUUAAAAUGUAUUUAAAAAAAAUGAAUUCUGCAGAACUGAUAUUAAAUCAUUUAUUUGAAGGCUUUGACUUUUUACUGCUGUUUAAAUGUGCACAAAAAUAUUUCUAUUUCAGCAUAAAACUCCAGACUCCAGACACUGCAUGUGAGUGAACGUCUUCUCCCAGCCAGACAAAUAAAAACAUGCUGAACUGAUUAGAAUAUGAGUGUGUUUAUAGAACAUGUACCUGUGAAUACGUGAUAUUUUACAGAAAGUGUAUUCAGUGAGUAUAAGAAGUACACUGACCAGGUAUAACAUCAACAUUAUAACAUGAAUAGUGUUUUAGUGGUGAAGUGAAGAACACUGAUGAUCUUCAUCAUGGCUCCUGUUAGUGGGUGGAUUUAUUUAUCAGGCAGCAGGUGAACAUUUUGUCCUCAAAGUUGAUGUUAGAAGCAGGAAAAAUGGGCGAAAGUAUUUAAACGAGUUUGACAAAUUGUGACGUCUAGACGUCUGGGUCAGAGCAUCUCCAACACUGAAGCUCUCAGCUUUUAGCAACUAAAUGGGACCAACACAAUAUUAGGGAGGUGCUCAUGAUGUUCUACCUGAUCGGUGUAAAUGUCUAAUCACAUGAGGUCACUGAUCACCUGAUGACUGAUCCGUUCACAGCAUUCAACAUCCAAACACACGUCUAUUGUCUUCAUUUUAACAGCUUUCAGAAUUGCGUUUCGUAUUUAAACCUCCUGCGAGAGCAACAAAGUGAAAGAAAGAAUCAAUAAAACACGGAAGAAACGUCAUUAACGAACCACACGAGGGAAUGACGCAAGGAAAUCUUCUGAUCUGUGACCAUUGAAGGUGUCCUGGCUUUGCAUCUGCAGAUUUCCUGAGGGAACCUGAGCAGGAAAGAGUGAAGAGUUUUGCAGGAAAAAACAUGGAGGAGACACCUGGCCUUUCUGCACCUCUGGCUUCCUGCCUGUCUGCCGUCUGUGUGUCAUAUGAACUCUGGGGUUUUAUUUCUUUUAAAAACGCUAGGUUUUGUAAGCAGAGCAGAUGAUUGAGGGCAGACUGAGAUGAAUUAGGAAUAAAAGAAAAAUUCCAGCGUUCCUGAAAACAACUUAAAAGAAAAAGAACAAAGAGAACGCAUUACAACAGGGUUUUUUUUCUCUUGGCCUGGUUUUGUAGGUCCAUGCUGAGCGGAGACUCGUCCAGACUGGAAUCAAAAGUGAGUAGAAGUUGUGUUUGUGUUUUAAGGUGGAAAAUCCCACAUGCUUCUGUGUGUGUGUGUGUGUGUGUGUGUGUGUGUGUGUGUGUGUGUGUGUGUGUGUGUGUGUGUGUGUGUGUGUGUGUGUGUGAUGGCCGAGUCCCGAGCGUCAAAUUGACGGCGAUCACCAUUAUUUUGUGUGUGUGUUUUGUGUACGGAAAAGAAAAAUGGGCGUGUGUGUGUGUGUGUGUGUGUGUGUGUGUCCGCGCUGCACUUCCUCAAUUCGCGGCGCCGCACAGAAACAACCCGAAUGAUUCAGAACAUAAAACCUACUCGCGCACACUGCAAUCACCAUCAUCAUCAUCACGAUCACGCAAAUCACCGCAACUUUGCACGCGGAUGCACAGAACAGAAGAGGAGCAGAAGAGCUGCGUGACGCGUUAUAACGCUUUAAUUCACCCCCGCGCUCCUCCUCCGAGCGCUGCUCUGAAACCAGACCCUGUCCCUCCAAAC